rnacentral:rRNA from 1 species
AGCUCCAAUAGCGUAUAUUAAAGUUGUUGCAGUUAAAAAGCUCGUAGUUGGAUUUCUGGUUCGAGCGCUUGGCCCCCCGCGCAAGCGGGGUUGCGCCGUGGCGUCUCGCUCCAUCCUCGGGUGGCUCCUUGGUGGCAUUAGGUUGUCGUCUUGGGAAAGCCCGUCGUUUACUGUGAAAAAAUUAGAGUGUUCAAAGCAGGCCUUUUGGCGUUGGAUACAUUAGCAUGGAAUAAUAAGAUAGGACUUUGUUGCUAUUUUGUUGGUUUGCGCGACAGAGUAAUGAUUAAUAGGGAUAGUUGGGGGUAUUCGUAUUCAAUUGUCAGAGGUGAAAUUCUUGGAUUUAUGGAAGACGAACUACUGCGAAAGCAUUUACCAAGGAUGUUUUCAUUAAUCAAGAACG